UACGUAGGGGGCAAGCGUUGUCCGGAUUUAUUGGGCGUAAAGCGCUCGCAGGCGGCUCGAUGCGUCGUGCGUGAAACACCCCGGCUCAACUGGGGAGGGUCGUGCGAUACGGUCGGGCUGGAGGCCAGUAGGGGGAUGCGGAAUUCCCGGUGUAGUGGUGAAAUGCGUAGAGAUCGGGAGGAACACCUGUGGCGAAGGCGGCCGACUGGGCCGACCCUGACGCUGAGGCGCGAAGGCGUGGGGAGCGAACGGG
rnacentral:rRNA from 1 species